GCCACAACAGUGAGAGGCCCGCGUCCCGCAAAAAAAAAAAAAAAGCAAGCCCCCUUUCUUUCUCCUGCGAGCAGGGAUGUUGCUUCGGCUGAGCCAGGAUGAAGUUCUUGGUGGAUGGGAGUGGGCAGCGACCUUCGAUGCGGGAAGGGACUGCCGGCAAAAAUGGAGGGGAAGCCCCCAUAUUCCAGCUCACUGGGACAGGGCUCCCGGGUGGGAGCAACUUGAGGGACCUGAAGUCUGGCUACUCCGCCUCUUUCCCUGUGUGCAGCCAAAGAGGAGUGGGAUUCGAGGGGUGACCAAGAAAUCCACUGCUCUUGCCUCACCUGCAAGGCGCCCCCCCCCCCCCCGCCCCCAGUCUCCUCCAGCUCGCAAACUCCGUCCAUCCUCCAGGCUGAGUUCUGAGGCUGCAGUGACUCAGCCAGGCCAGCAGGUGUCAGCAAAGGCCCAGGGCCUGGGUAGGGCUCCGGAGGGUCAAAGCUUCGCGCCCCUCCCCACCUCCGGUUGCCUCUGGCUUCUCCGGGCCGCCCACCGCCCAAACUUCUUCAUGUAUAACGUUCUCCCUAGUCGGCUAGAGGAGGCUCAGACUGUCCUCCUUCUAGGACCCCAGAGCUGCCCCAGGCUCCUGAUGCCCUCUCCUCUUGCAGGGCCGCCUCCUCCCCACUCGCUCUUUCGGCGUCUCUGCUCCGGACCCAGCCUCAUCCUGAUCUCCAUCGGCCUUAGCCUCCUGCUGCUGGUGGUUGUCUGUGUGAUCGGAUCCCAGAACUCCAAGCUGCAGGAGGAGCUGCGGGCCCUGAGAGAAACGUUCAGCAACCUCACAGUGAGCACGGAGGCCAAGGUCAAGGCCCUGAGCGUCCAGGGAGGAAAUGUGGGCAGAAAGAUGAAGUCCCUGGAGUCCCAACUGGAGAAACAGCAGCAGGACCUGAGUGAAGAUCACUCCAGCUUGCUGCUCCACGUGAAGCAGUUUGUGUCUGACCUGCGAAGCCUGAGCUGUCAGAUGGCCGUCCUCCAGGGCAACGGCUCUGAAAGGACCUGCUGCCCGGUGAACUGGGUGGACUUUGAAGGCAAAUGCUACUGGUUCUCUCGCUCGGGGAAGCCCUGGCCCGAGGCUGAGAAGUACUGCCAGCUGGAGGACGCCCACCUGGUGGUGGUGGGCUCCUGGGAGGAGCAGAAAUUUAUCCAGCACCACAUGGGCCCUGUGAACACCUGGAUGGGCCUCACUGACCAAAACGGGCCCUGGAAAUGGGUGGACGGGACAGACUAUGAGUCGGGUUUCAAGAACUGGAGACCAGAGCAGCCGGACGACUGGUAUGGGCACGGGCUCGGAGGAGGUGAGGACUGUGCCCACUUCACGGACGACGGCCGCUGGAACGAUGACGUCUGUCAGAGGCCCUACCGGAAUUUGACAACAUGAAUAAAUGUGUGAGAAUAACCUGCAGGAGAAAACCCAACAAUCAGGGAACUUGUCCUAUCAGAUAUUAAAAUAGAAGAUCAACAGUUUGGAGCAGCAUUUGAGGAUCCACUCAACCUCCAAGGUGACACAUCUUGGAACAAUUCUGUCAAUGACCUUGCUUCUUACUUCACUGAGAAAAUGUCUGGUCUGAUGAGAAGCCCCCCCACCCCGCCCCACCGACCCAUACUCCGUGGUGGAGACCACCUGGAUCGGCACUGAUCUCAUCUCCUCUCACCGAUCGUGGGGGAAUUCACACCCCAGCCUCCCUUGGAGCUUGCCAGAUGGAAGGGAUCCUAAGGAGGCCCUGACGGACAGCAGAGCCGAGGCUGGCAGGGGCCUGGACCCCUAAGCCGCCCCACUGAGGAAACCUGUCCUCCUGUGUACUGUGAUGUGAGUGAGAAACACGCUUUGUGAUGCUAAACCACCGAGAUGGGUGUUACAGCAGCUAAGGAGACACUCACUUUCCCACCUCCAGGUACCAACUCCCAUGCCUGCAUCUCCACCCACACACCUCUCCUUCCCUUUUGUUAAUGGCGGUGGAGCCUCUCUGCUCCUAUCAAAGACCCUGGAGCCCACACCUCCUCACUGAUUCCAGGGCUUCCCUCCCCUCUGCACCCAUGAGUUUUCUCU